GACGAACGCUGGCGGCGUGCUUAAUACAUGCAAGUCGAACGAUGAAGCUAGAGCUUGCUCUGGUGGAUUAGUGGCGAACGGGUGAGUAACACGUGAGUAACCUGCCCCGAACUCUGGGAUAACUGCUGGAAAUGGUAGCUAAUACCGGAUACGACCCUCGGAGGCAUCUUCAGGGGGUGGAAAGAAUUUCGGUCAAGGAUGGACUCGCGGCCUAUCAGCUAGUUGGGGAGGUAAUGGCUCACCAAGGCGACGACGGGUAGCCGGCCUGAGUGGGUGACCGGCCACACUGGGACUGAGACACGGCCCAGACUCCGACGGGAGGCAGCAGUGGGGAAUAUUGCACAAUGGGCGCAAGCCUGAUGCAGCAACGCCGCGUGAGGGAUGACGGCCUUCGGGUUGUAAACCUCUUUUAGUAGGGAAGAAGCGAAAGUGACGGUACCUGCAGAAAAAGCACCGGCUAACUACGUGCCAGCAGCCGCCGUAA
rnacentral:rRNA from 1 species